UACGGGGGGGGUAAGCGUUGUUCGGAAUUACUGGGCGUAAAGAGCGCGCAGGCGGUCGUUCAAGUCGCGUGUGAAAGCCCCCGGCUCAACUGGGGAGGGUCACUCGAUACUGAUCGACUCGAAGGCAGAAGAGGGAAGCGGAAUUCCCGGUGUAGUGGUGAAAUGCGUAGAUAUCGGGAGGAACACCAGUGGCGAAGGCGGCUUUCUGGUCUGCUCUUGACGCUGAGGCGCGAAAGCUAGGGUAGCAAACGGG
rnacentral:rRNA from 1 species